CCCCCCCCCCCCCCCAACACACACACAGUCCUUUUUCUUUUGGGUUUUCCCUCUAGUGAUCAAGGUAUUUGCAUCAGAAUUUCUUCUAAGGGGAACAUGAGUCAACUUUCAUUGGGGCAAGUAGUAGGCUGUAAUCCUUUCUCAAGAAGCAUAGCCUCAUCAGUCAAUUUUUACAAUAGGACAUGUCACUUUAUAAUUUGUGAAUCCAAACUUUUACAAUAGGACAUGUCAUUAUUUUUUUUUUUUUUUUUUUUUUUAGAAAUAUUUUUUUCACAUUUAUAACUUUACUGGAGAAUGUUAUGAAAUCCUUUGUGCAAUAAUGAUGAUAUUCAUUUCUAAUGGUUAGUUGCAAAUAUAUUUAAUACUGUUAGAUCUUCUCUUAGACAUUAAUUGUGGACUAUGUUGUGACUCAGCAAUGUAUUUAGUUAGUGUACAAUUUAUUCACAUUAAUGUCGUAAUUCAGCAAAUUUUCUUUUUACCUUAAGCAUUAAGAUGUGUUCAAAUAAAAUUGAACUUCUUGCAAA